CAGGCUUAACACAUGCAAGUCGAGGGGCAUCGGGUAGAAAGCUUGCUUUCUUUGCCGGCGACCGGCGCACGGGUGAGUAACACGUAUCCAACCUGCCCUUUACUCGGGGAUAGCCUUUCGAAAGAAAGAUUAAUACCCGAUAGUAUAAUGAUUCCGCAUGGUUUCAUUAUUAAAGGAUUCCGGUAAAGGAUGGGGAUGCGUUCCAUUAGGUUGUUGGUGAGGUAACGGCUCACCAAGCCUUCGAUGGAUAGGGGUUCUGAGAGGAAGGUCCCCCACAUUGGAACUGAGACACGGUCCAAACUCCUACGGGAGGCAGCAGUGAGGAAUAUUGGUCAAUGGGCGCUAGCCUGAACCAGCCAAGUAGCGUGAAGGAUGAAGGCUCUAUGGGUCGUAAACUUCUUUUAUAUAAGAAUAAAGUGCAGUAUGUAUACUGUUUUGUAUGUAUUAUAUGAAUAAGGAUCGGCUAACUCCGUGCCAGCAGCCGCGGUAAUACGGAGGAUCCGAGCGUUAUCCGGAUUUAUUGGGUUUAAAGGGAGCGUAGGUGGACUGGUAAGUCAGUUGUGAAAGUUUGCGGCUCAACCGUAAAAUUGCAGUUGAUACUGUCAGUCUUGAGUACAGUAGAGGUGGGCGGAAUUCGUGGUGUAGCGGUGAAAUGCUUAGAUAUCACGAAGAACUCCGAUUGCGAAGGCAGCUCACUGGACUGCAACUGACACUGAUGCUCGAAAGUGUGGGUAUCAAACAGGAUUAGAUACCCUGGUAGUCCACACAGUAAACGAUGAAUACUCGCUGUUUGCGAUAUACAGUAAGCGGCCAAGCGAAAGCAUUAAGUAUUCCACCUGGGGAGUACGCCGGCAACGGUGAAACUCAAAGGAAUUGACGGGGGCCCGCACAAGCGGAGGAACAUGUGGUUUAAUUCGAUGAUACGCGAGGAACCUUACCCGGGCUUAAAUUGCAGUGGAAUGAUGUGGAAACAUGUCAGUGAGCAAUCACCGCUGUGAAGGUGCUGCAUGGUUGUCGUCAGCUCGUGCUGUGAGGUGUCGGCUUAAGUGCCAUAACGAGCGCAACCCUUAUCUUCAGUUACUAACAGGUCAUGCUGAGGACUCUGGAGAGACUGCCGUCGUAAGAUGUGAGGAAGGUGGGGAUGACGUCAAAUCAGCACGGCCCUUACGUCCGGGGCUACACACGUGUUACAAUGGGGGGUACAGAAGGCAGCUAGCGGGUGACCGUAUGCUAAUCCCAAAAUCCUCUCUCAGUUCGGAUCGAAGUCUGCAACCCGACUUCGUGAAGCUGGAUUCGCUAGUAAUCGCGCAUCAGCCACGGCGCGGUGAAUACGUUCCCGGGCCUUGUACACACCGCCCGUCAAGCCAUGGGAGCCGGGGGUACCUGAAGUACGUAACCGCAAGGAUCGUCCUAGGGUAAAACUGGUGACUGGGGCUAA
rnacentral:rRNA from 1 species